GUAGGUGGCAAGCGUUGUCCGGAAUUAUUGGGCGUAAAGCGCGCGCAGGCGGUCCUUUAAGUCUGAUGUGAAAGCCCACGGCUCAACCGUGGAGGGUCAUUGGAAACUGGGGGACUUGAGUACAGAAGAGGACAGCGGAAUUCCAAGUGUAGCGGUGAAAUGCGUAGAGAUUUGGAGGAACACCAGUGGCGAAGGCGGCUUUCUGGUCUGUAACUGACGCUGAGGCGCGAAAGCGUGGGGAGCAAACAGGGAUUAGAUACCCUGGUAGUCCACGCCGUAAACGAUGAGUGCUAAGUGUUAGGGGGUUUCCGCCCCCUUAGUGCUGCAGCUAACGCAUUAAGCACUCCGCCUGGGGAUACGGCCGCAAGGCUG
rnacentral:rRNA from 1 species